UACGGGGGGGGGCAAGCGUUGUUCGGAAUUACUGGGCGUAAAGGGCGCGUAGGUGGCCAACUAAGUCAGACGUGAAAUCCCUCGGCUUAACCGGGGAACUGCGUCUGAUACUGGAUGGCUUGAGUUUGGGAGAGGGACGCGGAAUUCCAGGUGUAGCGGUGAAAUGCGUAGAUAUCUGGAGGAACACCGGUGGCGAAGGCGGCGUCCUGGACCAAUACUGACACUGAAACGCGAAAGCCAGGGAGCAAACGGG
rnacentral:rRNA from 1 species